CUUUCAAGUAAUCAUGGACUAGUGUGUUGUAAUUCGGUUGCUCAAGGAAUGUUCUGGACGUUGGUAACAUAGUGGAAAGUUCUAUAAAAUUCAAGUGAUAGCAAAGCAUGAAGAAUGUAGAAGAUCUUCUCUUCAAGCUCUAUCUCCUUGGUCUUCUCUCUUGGAAAUCAAAGGCAAGGGCGGAGGGCGACACGGAGAGGGUUGUGCUACUUUGCUCCUUAUCAUGCUCCUAGUCCUACAGGUGUCAUCUCUCCACACCACGCUCCUUGUCCUGCCUCUUCUCCUCCAACCUCCGCAGGUCCAAGAGGUCACAGCAGUUCUUCCCCUACACUGUGUCGGCUCUCCACUUUGGCGGAAGCACCCCACGUCGCUGCUACGCUUGAGGCGGGGCUUUCCUAUAACUUCCAUCCACACAGUCUCCACCUCCCUCGUCGAGAGAGUUACCUUUACAAAUACUUGAAAAAAGAAAAUAGAGCUGAGUAUGUCUCAUUUAUGGAUCUUGGUCACAUACCAACAUGUAGUGUGGGCAAAGAAGGCAGUAAAUUGUCACAACAUAUUGCUGAGCAGUUGAGAGCAUCAAACAGAGAUAGUAUCUGCUUCAUUUCAUAUAACACUAGGUACCAUUGGAUCCUAACUAUAAUUAAUGAAGAUAAGAAUAUGAUAUAUUUAUUGGACUCUUUGAGUAAUAGGAAUCGAGAUCAUGCUUGGUAAACUAUUGUGGCCAAGUAGCGGGGUCAAGUUAUACAAUGCAUCAAGGGGUAUUUCAAAAGGAUUUGGUUUUAAACAAUUGACGGGUAAUCUAAAACAAAAAGGUAGUGUUGAAUGUGGAUAUUGUAUAAUGCGGUACAUGAAAGAGAUAGUCUUGGAUGAAUAUCUCUAAUUGGAGAUGAAGUUUGCAACAUCAAAAAAUAAACAGUAUUACAAUCAAUCACAGUAUGAUGAAGUCAAAAGUGAAUGGAGAGAAUUCGUCUACUUCUAUAUAGAUGCUUAAGUGUAGGUUGUGAUAUAUUUUGGAUUGUAUUUAGAGAUUUAUGGAUACAAAAACUUUUGGGUUAUGGUUAAACAUGUCUUUUAUGAAUACACUUUUGGAUUGUAUUUGAUACAUAUUUAUGAUAUAUUUGUUCAAUUUUGAUAGUGAAAAAUAUUGUAUUGUAGUGACAUAUUAUCAUA